UACGGAGGGGACUAGCGUUGUUCGGAAUUACUGGGCGUAAAGGGCGCGUAGGCGGCUUUUCAAGUCGGGGGUGAAAGCCUGUGGCUCAACCACAGAAUUGCCUUCGAUACUGUUAGGCUUGAGACCGGAAGAGGUGAGUGGAACUGCGAGUGUAGAGGUGAAAUUCGUAGAUAUUCGCAAGAACACCAGUGGCGAAGGCGGCUCACUGGUCCGGUUCUGACGCUGAGGCGCGAAAGCGUGGGGAGCAAACAGG
rnacentral:rRNA from 1 species